rnacentral:rRNA from 1 species
GGAAGUAAAAGUCGUAACAAGGUCUCCGUUGGUGAACCAGCGGAGGGAUCAUUACCGAGUUAUUCAACUCAUCAACCCUGUGAACUUACCUAUACGUUGCUUCGGCGGGAAUAGACGGCCCCGUAAAACGGGCCGCCCCCGCCAGAGGACCCUUAACUCUGUUUCUAUAAUGUUUCUUCUGAGUAAAACAAGCAAAUAAAUUAAAACUUUCAACAACGGAUCUCUUGGCUCUGGCAUCGAUGAAGAACGCAGCGAAAUGCGAUAAGUAAUGUGAAUUGCAGAAUUCAGUGAAUCAUCGAAUCUUUGAACGCACAUUGCGCCCGCCAGUAUUCUGGCGGGCAUGCCUGUUCGAGCGUCAUUACAACCCUCAGGCCCCCGGGCCUGGCGUUGGGGAUCGGCGGAGCCCCCCGUGGGCACACGCCGUCCCCCAAAUACAGUGGCGGUCCCGCCGCAGCUUCCAUCGCGUAGUAGCUAACACCUCGCGACUGGAGAGCGGCGCGGCCACGCCGUAAAACACCCAACUCUUCUGAAGUUGACCUCGAAUCAGGUAGGAAUACCCGCUGAACUUAAGCAUAUCAAUAAGCGGAGGA